AACGAACGCUGGCGGCAGGCCUAACACAUGCAAGUCGAACGCCCUAGCAAUAGGGAGUGGCAGACGGGUGAGUAACGCGUGGGAACGUACCCUUCGGUUCGGAAUAACCCAGGGAAACUUGGACUAAUACCGGAUACGUGCGAGAGCAGAAAGAUUUAUCGCCGAAGGAUCGGCCCGCGUCCGAUUAGCUAGUUGGUGAGGUAAUGGCUCACCAAGGCGACGAUCGGUAGCUGGUCGAGAGGAUGAUCAGCCACACUGGGACUGAGACACGGCCCAGACUCCUACGGGAGGCAGCAGUGGGGAAUAUUGGACAAUGGGCGCAAGCCUGAUCCAGCCAUGCCGCGUGAGUGAUGAAGGCCCUAGGGUUGUAAAGCUCUUUCGCCAGGGACGAUAAUGACGGUACCUGGAUAAGAAGCCCCGGCUAACUUCGUGCCAGCAGCCG
rnacentral:rRNA from 1 species